rnacentral:rRNA from 1 species
UACGAAGGGGCUAGCGUUGCUCGGAAUCACUGGGCGUAAAGGGUGCGUAGGCGGGUCUUUAAGUCAGGGGUGAAAUCCUGGAGCUCAACUCCAGAACUGCCUUGAUACUGAAGAUCUUGAGUUCGGGAGAGGUGAGUGGAACUGGCGAGUGUAGAGGUGAAAUUCGUAGAUAUUCGCAAGAACACCAGUGGCGAAGGCGGCU